CAAGGGCUGCAGGUCCUACAGGUUCUGCAUUUUUCAUGAGAGCAUUCAGGCAGCACUGCUCCGUGCACCGUCCCACCCACCAAUGCACAAAGGAAAAAUAAUGCUUUUGCAGCAUUGCCAAAUGGCCACCAGAGGAUUUAAUUUGUCAAUAAGCUGCACGAAUGCCCAGGCCACCUCCAUCUGCUGCUGUGACAGAACACAAUUAACAGGAAAAUCCCAGUUCAAUCUUUGGAGACUUAAAGUGCUCACUCAAAUGCACUGAACAAGAGGAAUGCUUCAGCUCCAAUCAGCUCCUGUCUUCUUUGGAAAUGCUGGCCCUGAGGCACUAUGCAAUAACCUGUGAUCAGGAUCCCAGUUAUGUGCUGGAUAGGCAGCUGAAGAAGCUCCUAGACCUGUCUUUCUAAGAUUUGGACAGAGCCUAUAGAUAAGUGAUAAACUGUUUGAGGAAGAGAUGCUGUCAGAGGCUGCCCAGAGGGACAGAGGUCUCAUUAGAACUUCUGUUUUACUUCAUCUCACCCCAGCAACCCGUGCUGGCAUCUAUGGGCUGACAACCAACGUCUGCUAUCCCGGGCUGCAAAAAUUCUCAUUUGCCAAUAGAUUCAGUUCAGUUGGGAUUUUACUGCUUCCGUUUUGCUGGAGGAUUUGGGAUUUGAGUCCAAAAAACAAGCAUGAAAGUCGAUCUGUUGGUGAAAGCUCUGGAGAGGUGCAGAGACAGGGAGGAAACGAGCUCCCCUUGCAAUUAAAACUGUUGAAACAGCUGUUAUCUGGUAGCUGCUCUCACCGGGCAGUUUCCUGAUGUCAGUCAGCAGCUGUGGGGCUGCAGCAGCAAUUGGAGCCUGAGGAGAGGCAGCCGCACCCCGGCUGUCCCCACACCCUGAAGGAGCUGCCCACGUUGUGCAGUGAACCCCAUUGCACAAGGGGUGAAUCCGGGCACUGCAGCAAUGGAGACACAGAACCCACUGUCGAAAGCCAAUGAAUGCUGAAAUUAAGACACUGCUGGAAAGUUGACCGAAGCAAGGGUUUGCAUUUAAAAAAACAGAAACAGAGCACCUUCACCACCUAAUGGGAAGGCGGAUGAGGAUAAGAUGAGCAAGGAGGAAGCAAAUAGGAAGCGUUGCUUAAUGUCAUAAUGAAUGGAACUGAAGAAGAGAAGGGCCACAGCUCUGAGAUGAGAUGGGUGGUGCUCUGGAGUGCCCAGUGUGGUCUCUGAAGUAAGCAUCCAGGCCCAAGUGAAGAAAACAGAGAUUGAAAUGGAAUUGGGGAAAACAAAGUUACUGGGAUUCUUCAAGACAAGGAGGGCAUGUCUCCUGGAGUCAGCACUGAAGCACUGUCUUACUUAGCCACCAGCCAAGCAGACUUAUAGUGACAGCAUUUGUUUUUUGUGUGCCUAACACAGGAGAAAAGAAAAGUAAAUUGCUGGUGAAUGAUGAAUGUAUAUAACAUUUGCCAUGUACCAGAAUAACAAGUUUCAGUAACAGCAUCCCUAAAAAGAAAAAAAGAGGCAAUGAGGGUAAAUAAAACAAACCAUUCCUAAGAUGAAGUGGAUGUGCUUCUGAAAAAGCCUGGACAAGUUGGACUCUGAUAAAAUACUUCUAGAACUACUGUCCCAUGAAACAGGAGGGGUACAGAGCUGAGGUGGGAGCCAGGGACUCCAAGAUGCUUCCAACCAAUUGUUAGUGCAGCAGCCUGGUUUGUAUAAGAGGAUGGGUGAACAAGGGGUAUAAAGCAGAGAGGAACAGAGAAAAAUCAAGCGCAUAACAUAAAAUAUGUCUUCAUCUAACCCAUGAAAUAGCAGAAGAUCCACAAACUGUGAUGCUAAACAGCCUUAUGUAAGUGAUUACAUGAAGCAGCUGUAACACAAGCCUGUAGAUAUGGAGAAGGACUCCAAAGGGAGUAAAUAGAAAUACAGACAAGGCCAGGAAGCUAACGGUGAAGGUAGGUUGCUUUGCUGAGGAUUCUUUAAACAAAGAAACAAAAAAAUUAGAGGCAUUUCCAUACAAAAAUACAACCAAUUCCAUUGCCAGGCAAACUCUCACUGGAUCCAAAAGGCUGAAGCAAAACUCUGGUUCUAGACAGAGAACCAUUCCAUAAUCUACAAGGAGGCUUCACAUUCUGAGUUUUUUAAGACUGCUUUUUAGCUACACAAGGCCUUAUUUCCAGAGAGCAGAGAACCUCUGGCUGCAGGGAGAGCUGCCAGAAUCUACACUACACCAAAAGGGUCUUAAAAGAAUUAUCCCAGGCAGAAGAAGCAGAUUUCUCUUGAAGACAGAAUAAGCAUGGGGCCAACAGCUCUCUUUUCCUCUAGCAAAUACUGGGAUGAACCCACUAAUAUUCAAGAGGUAGCCAGCACUUUGCAUUGCAAGAAGCAACAUUCAGCUGCUUCUAUUUGCAGCAAUUUUAAAUUUUCUAAGUGUAACGCUACAAUGGGAUGGAAAGUAGUGCAAUAGCAGCAAUGUGGCAAAGCCUUUGGCUACAGCAAGUGAGAACAAGCCCAAAAGCAGCAGCCAGGGAUAAAGAAAUGAAGUAAAACAUCGCUUACCUUUGCAAGGCCACAGGUAGGUAGGAAUCUCCAGCAAGAGAUACCCUUAGCUCCACUGCCAACCCUUAAAUGAGGUAUGGGAGGGGGUGGAUCCUGGCUCCACCCCUUCUGGCCACUCAGCUACAUUGCACACACCUGGGCUCCCCUGGGCCUUCCUACCAGGUGCUCAAUCACUGCUUCAGGCCAUGACUCAGCAUUGCUGCUAUGCUAAGUAAAUUUUAUUUUAAUUUAAACUGAAAUCCCAAGUCCCUAUUUCUACCAAGGAAUGCUCAGAGCUUUGCAUUGGGCAUGGCAUAUAAAGGUUUUAAGUUUUCCCCAAAGUCUUCUGUAUGACAGCUACUUGAGGACCAGUUGGGUGCCACUGUGUCAAUCAUCCUCAUCCCAGAAGUAAAAUCCUUUAUCAUCCUCUCCCACCAGAGAAGUACAAAAUGAGAUCAAAGAUAAUAGAUAUGUCAUUUAGUAAUGGUAGUAGAAUAGGAACACUUUAAAGGAGGGUCCACCAUGGUCAAGGAGCUACUUGCAGCUCAACGUGCUUUGAUGCAGUUCUUGGAGCUGGCCGUCUGUGUAACUGAAGACCUGGUCCAGAGCGCCUAAGGGCAAUGGAUGUGUUGCCAUUGACUCAACUGAUAACAAGGUGAAAUCUUAUCUCCCUGCAGUGAAUCUGAUAUGCCUUUGUUCUGUACUUCACCAUCACUAUGUUUAGAGGGCCAGCUCUUUGCAGCUGGGUACCUAAACCUAGAUAUACUCCUGAAAUCCACCAGAUAUACAGGUGAGCUCUUCAAGCAACUGACAGAGUAAAACAGUAGAAAUAGUAAGAAUAAUGAUACGAUGGUGAACAGACAGCACUGUGAGUGAGGAUCCUUUGAAAUCCAUUAGCAACAGAAUAAGAGGAGUUUCAGUGCGCCAGAGUUUGCUGUGUUUCAUUGUGUAAUUCCACGAAGUUCUGCUUCUCCUUCAUUUCAGAAAGACCACUCAGCAGCCUCUGGCUUCUACGUUUUAGUUUUUCUCAUCUACUAGCCAGAAAAAGAAACACACAACUAGGAGCUGUAUUCACAGACAGGAAGUAACUUUAAUUAAAUAUUGUGAAAGUUGAAAAGUUUUUACAGCUUGAGUUUCUGCAAAAAAAUUAUAACAAUCUCUACAGUAGUUAGUUUCUCUAACAAUAGAACUGUACAGUGUGUGUGUCUAUUCAAAAAGAUUUAGAUAAGAAGGUGAAAGGUUAGUAGGUUCAGAGAUGACUUCAUUUUAGCUGCAUUCUAGUACAACUGUGAGGAAAUAGGCAUACUUGAUGCAAUCCAGUCUUUGUGAAGCUUCACCUUUUUAAAACUGAAAUCUGGACGUUUCCACUUAAAGCCAUAUUCUGUAAACAGCUGCAUCUUUUACUUUGUAAAAGAUAAGAGUGGUGUGGGG
ensembl:lncRNA